ACUUAUCUGAUGUGAUCAUGGAAAGACUCCAAAUGCUCAGUCAACAAAUCGGAAAAUAUCUACUGCUGUUUUUACUUACAGCAUCAGGUGUUAUCUGUCAAGAUUGGAUUCGACCAAUGGACCAGAGGACCAGUGUUUCCAGUACAGAAGGAGAAUCUGUAACACUGGAAUGUUCAUAUGACACAAGCAGCAGCUAUGUUUUCCUUUAUUGGUACAGGCAGUUUUCUAACACACAGCCAGAAUAUAUACUGCGUAAAGGUGGACGAUCAGAGACAUAUGAGGAUAUACCAGACCCCAAACGAUUUGGAACAACUACGUCCCAGAAAUCCACUUCACUGACCAUUAAAAGUGUAACUCUGUCAGAUUCAGCUCUCUAUUACUGUGCUCUAAGAGUAACAGCCCAGUGUUACAAAGUGCCUGAGAGGCUUUACAAAAACUCACUCAGAAAAUUUGCUUUGAACAGCGAGUUAUCAAAUGAAUAUCAAACCAAAUUUGUGUCUUCAUAA